GAUGAACGCUAGCGGGAGGCCUAACACAUGCAAGCCGAGCGGUAUUUGUUCUUCGGAACAGGGAGAGCGGCGCACGGGUGCGGAACACGUGUGCAACCUGCCUUUAUCUGGGGGAUAGCCUUUCGAAAGGAAGAUUAAUACCCCCUAAUAUAUUGAGUGGCAUCAUUUGAUAUUGAAAACUCCGGUGGAUAGAGAUGGGCACGCGCAAGAUUAGAUAGUUGGUGAGGUAACGGCUCACCAAGUCAAUGAUCUUUAGGGGGCCUGAGAGGGUGAUCCCCCACACUGGUACUGAGACACGGACCAGACUCCUACGGGAGGCAGCAGUGAGGAAGAUUGGACAAUGGGUUAGCGCCUGAUCCAGCCAUCCCGCGUGAAGGACGACGGCCCUAUGGGUUGUAAACUUCUUUUGUAUAGGGAUAAACCUACUCUCGUGAGAGUAGCUGAAGGUACUAUACGAAUAAGCACCGGCUAACUCCGUG
rnacentral:rRNA from 1 species